rnacentral:rRNA from 1 species
UACGUAGGUGGCGAGCGUUGUCCGGAUUUACUGGGCGUAAAGGGCGUGCAGGCGGUUUGUUAAGUGCAGGGUGAAAGCUCCCGGCUCAACUGGGAGAGGUCCUUGCAUACUGGCGAACUCGAGGGAGGCAGAGGAAAGUGGAAUUCCCGGUGUAGUGGUGAAAUGCGUAGAUAUCCGGAGGAACACCAGUGGCGAAGGCGGCUUCCUGGACCGACACUGACGCUGAGGCGCGAAAGCUAGGGGAGCGAACAGG